CUGACCAAGCCACUGUAAGUGGGAACAAUACCAAAGAUGACAACCAGUGUGAAGUGUGCAUGAAGACUUUCCUCAUUCCAUUUGGUGAACAUCCAAAUUAAAAGACCCUUAUUAUUGCUGCACAGGCAUUAGAAGGCACCAUGUACUUUGCCACCAAGGACUGAAGAUUCUUGUUUUAAUUUCCCCUAUUGGAGCCAGCAAUUAACAUUUAAGGUCACUGUCUACUGAAUAGAUAUUUGUUUAGCUGCCAACAGUGCAGAAAAGCUUAACAAUAAGAAUGCACUGGAACGAAAUCCACAUUCAAAGAAGCUUCCACAAAUCAUCUACAGUGGCCAAAAGGGGACAGUAGUAAC